UAAAGAUCAAUCAAUCAAUCAAAUUUCCCGAUUUAAAGAUUGCGUUGGAAUUGUGAAAUUUAAUUGCUUAAAAUGCACAAACUCGUAUCUCCAAAAAGACACAGCCAUUAAAUAUCACUUGAUCUAACGGUGAAGGUUACAUUCCUGACAGUUGUUCAUAAUGUUGUCAAAAGGUUGUCAAAGGUGUGCUCAGUCUGUCAGUGUAUAGUGGACUAGCGUGGUGGACUAUGACCUGAUUGAUCUCUUGUCACCCUGUAAGGAGCUCCGUGUUUAGUAGUGUGCCGGCGGUGGCGGGGAGCGGGCGGAUGAGAAGGCGGAGGACCGUGUCUGGUGGCGCGCUCUUGGAAAGGCCUAUGUCCCGCAGUGGACGCUUACUGGCUGAUGGAAUGGGGAAAAAUUCUUCGUUCUUCGCUCUAGCCUCUAAUAAUAUGCCCUAAUUUAAUUACUCAUUACUAUGUCAGUGAAUGUUAUAGAGUGUUAUGACCUGGGCCUACUUAAA